rnacentral:rRNA from 1 species
GACGAACGCUGGCGGCGUGCUUAACACAUGCAAGUCGAACGGAAAGGCCCUGCUUUUGUGGGGUGCUCGAGUGGCGAACGGGUGAGUAACACGUGAGUAACCUGCCCUUGACUUUGGGAUAACUUCAGGAAACUGGGGCUAAUACCGGAUAGGAGCUCCUGCUGCAUGGUGGGGGUUGGAAAGUUUCGGCGGUUGGGGAUGGACUCGCGGCUUAUCAGCUUGUUGGUGGGGUAGUGGCUUACCAAGGCUUUGACGGGUAGCCGGCCUGAGAGGGUGACCGGCCACAUUGAGACUGAGAUACGGCCCAGACUCCUACGGGAGGCAGCAGUGGGGAAUAUUGCACAAUGGGCGGAAGCCUGAUGCAGCAACGCCGCGUGCGGGAUGACGGCCUUCGGGUUGUAAACCGCUUUCGCCUGUGACGAAGCGUGAGUGACGGUAAUGGGUAAAGAAGCACCGGCUAACUACGUGCCAGCAGCCGCGGUGAUACGUAGGGUGCGAGCGUUGUCCGGAUUUAUUGGGCGUAAAGGGCUCGUAGGUGGUUGAUCGCGUCGGAAGUGUAAUCUUGGGGCUUAACCCUGAGCGUGCUUUCGAUACGGGUUGACUUGAGGAAGGUAGGGGAGAAUGGAAUUCCUGGUGGAGCGGUGGAAUGCGCAGAUAUCAGGAGGAACACCAGUGGCGAAGGCGGUUCUCUGGGCCUUUCCUGACGCUGAGGAGCGAAAGCGUGGGGAGCGAACAGGCUUAGAUACCCUGGUAGUCCACGCUGUAAACGGUGGGUACUAGGUGUGGGGUCCAUUCCACGGGUUCCGUGCCGUAGCUAACGCUUUAAGUACCCCGCCUGGGGAGUACGGCCGCAAGGCUAAAACUCAAAGGAAUUGACGGGGCCCCGCACAAGCGGCGGAGCAUGCGGAUUAAUUCGAUGCAACGCGUAGAACCUUACCUGGGUUUGACAUGGAUCGGGAGUGCUCAGAGAUGGGUGUGCCUCUUUUGGGGUCGGUUCACAGGUGGUGCAUGCCUGUCGUCAGCUCGUGUCGUGAGAUGUUGGGUUAAGUCCCGCAACGAGCGCAACCCUUGUUCACUGUUGCCAGCACGUUAUGGUGGGGACUCAGUGGAGACCGCCGGGGUCAACUCGGAGGAAGGUGGGGAUGACGUCAAGUCCUCAUGCCCCUUAUGUCCAGGGCUUCACGCAUGCUACAAUGGCUGGUACAGAGAGUGGCGAGCCUGUGAGGGUGAGCGAAUCUCGGAAAGCCGGUCUCAGUUCGGAUUGGGGUCCGCAACUCGACCUCAUGAAGUCGGAGUCGCUAGUAAUCGCAGAUCAGCAACGCUGCGGUGAAUACGUUCCCGGG